rnacentral:piRNA from 1 species
UACUUGUUCAGUUGGUCAUUA